ensembl:lncRNA
CACACACACACACACACACACACACACACACACACACACACACACACACACACACACACACACACACACACACACACACACACACAGUCAGUGUCUGCCCCUGACAAGGACUCCAGUUGAACUUGACAAACCCUAGGUCAGCUCCCAUGAGGCCUUGCAGCAUACUGAGUGGUCUGGCGGUCUGUGUCCCCAUCUCCCCCCACUGCCAACUCUCGGUCUGGCUGUCUGAGACCAGAGACAUGGGGGGGAGGCUGACUGGGGAGGGGUGGUCAGCUGGAUCAGACAGGAAGAGGAAGAACAUACCUCUGGCCUAAAGCUAGUGCACAAUUCUGGUCGGGUGAAGGUGGAGGAUAAUGAACUUAAUGCGGCAUUUGCUUUUUUCUGUUAUGAAGUAUUAACCCCCCCCAUGGACAGCAUUGACGCACUUGCACAUGCUUCACUCUGUGAUGCUCUAUCUCUUUCGUACGAUUCGCCUACGUUGUCUUUAUGACUUAUUUUAAAGUUUUCAAAAUGUGUGUGUGUGUGUGUGUGUGUGUGUGUGUGUGUGUGUGUGUGUGUGUGUGUGUGUGUGUGUUUUUGUAUUUGAAGUCAUGAAUAUAUUGUCUCCCACCCACCCCCCUGUUGAGUUUUUCCGCCCUUGUGUUCCAUGAUUUUUUGUCUCACACGUGUUAAUGUUUGUGUGUACAGAGCGUGUCCAGAGUUUGUUUUAUAUUAUGCCCAUAUAGCAGCCUUUGAGCCUGUGCAUAAUGGUGAAUGGGAACUCCAGGAUUUGAGGUUGUGGUUUUGGAGGAGGGUUUGUUUGUAUAAUGUCCGCUGUACCCCUUUUUGUCUCCCCCUCUUCUACUUCCCUAUUGUGUGCGUUUCGAUCGGCCCUUUUAUUUUAAAUUUCUUCCCGAUGUAUUUCAUUUAUGAAUAUUUCUUAAAAGAUAAGUGUGACCUCACCGUAUGGAAUGUCGAUUACCCCACUAGCAUCCUUAUUACUCUCCCUCCCUCUUCCCAACACCCUUCACUUGGAUGCAAGUCACUAGCCAGCAAGCAAAAAACAUUUGAAAUAUUAUUCAAUCAUGUUUUGUGAUUUGACCUUUCUGGGCAUGGUGGAUAAAGCCGUACAGGGAUAUGAAUUGGGUGUAUUCUAACCAGCUGUGUUUUGUUUUAGGAAGAAUUCAUGCAGGGGUUAGAGGCGGCCACUCAAAGCCCAUACAGCAUGUAAGAUGUGUAAACAUACUCAACCUUGGGUUAAAGGACUUUGAGCCUUGAUGUAAUCACCUGCUGCCCCUCUACAAGAACUAAUGUGGCACACUCCAAGCCUACAGUCAGAAUAUACAAACAAGUAAUUAUUAUCAAACCUAACCCACUCAAACACUGGCUGAGUUGAGGUCAAGUCAAACUAAAGAAGAGGGGUGAGGAGGAGAUGCCCAACAGCGGAGUCAAACGAGACACUAAAGAUACUUUAUUCUAAAAGAAUGUAUAUGGUUCGCAAAAAGUGAGAAUAAUAAUCAUUAUUAUUCCAUGGCAUUAAAUGCACUAAUGAGCAGGACUACAGCACUUUGUGUCUGUGAAGGCAUAUCAUCUAAAAUAAACGCUUUGGCCUGGCUCCCUUUUCAGUUGAUUUAUCAGCUAGACUAUAACAUGCUAUUUGCUCUGGGUUAGCUUCUUUUUUAAUGCACAUCUUCCCAGCACUGGGGUGGAGCUAAAGAAUAGGCAAUAUAGAAGGGCAAGAGGUGGCUCCACAGCGUGUUCUUGGUAGAUGGGACACUUGAGCAAUUACAAAUUCGAUUUUGACAAUGACUGUAGUUCAAUAUGAUUACUGUAAAUUAUCUUUUUUUUUCUUUUAUCUUUUUUUUUAUAAUUAACUGUUAUAAAUGAAUAUGUAUGUAUGAAUAAAUAUAUGCCUAUAUUAUUAUCACGAGUUUGGGUUUUGGUCUGGAUGGGAUUCAUCCUUCAAUUUAUUGAAAUGUUUUACCGCAUGAAGGCACUAGCGGGCAGCAACAGGCCAUUUUAAUCGCUCUCUCUGGUCAAACGCUUCUUUUGAGACGAUUAGGUAGCUAUCUAUUUGGCCCCAAUUCACAUUUUGAGGUGUACAAUUAUAACUUAACAAAGAAGAAUUAAAUAUUCUUUUAAAAUCGAAUCGGCUAUGUAGAACUACUAGCCCGCUUGUCCUAUAAACCAC